GACGAACGCUGGCGGCGUGCUUAACACAUGCAAGUCGAACGGUAAGGCCCUUCGGGGUACACGAGUGGCGAACGGGUGAGUAACACGUGGGUGAUCUGCCCUGCACUUCGGGAUAAGCAUGGGAAACUGGGUCUAAUACCGGAUAGGACCACUGCCUGCAUGGGUGGUGGUGGAAAGCUUUUGCGCGUGUUGGAUGGGCCCGCGGCCUAUGAGCUUGUUGGUGGGGUGAUGGCCUACAAAGGCGACGACGGGUAGCCGGCCUGAGAGGGUGACCGGCCCCAAUGGGAAUGAGAUACGGCCAAGACUCCUACGGGAGGCAGCAGUGGGGAAUAUUGCACAAUGGGCGCAAGCCUGAUGCAGCGACGCCGCGUGAGGGAUGACGGCCUUCGGGUUGUAAACCUCUUUCAGCACCGACGAAGCGCAAGUGACGGUAGGUGCAGAAGAAGGACCGGCCAACUACGUGCCAGCAGCCGCAGUAA
rnacentral:rRNA from 1 species